UACGUAGGAGGCGAGCGUUGUCCGGAUUUACUGGGCGUAAAGCGCGCGCAGGCGGCAGUGCAAGUAAGGUGUGAAAUCUCCCUGCUCAACGGGGAGGGUGCACUUUAGACUGCACAGCUCGAGGUCGGUAGAGGGGGGUGGAAUUGCUGGUGUAGCGGUGAAAUGCGUAGAGAUCAGCAGGAACACCCGUGGCGAAGGCGGCCCCCUGGGCCGUACCUGACGCUGAGGC
rnacentral:rRNA from 1 species